rnacentral:rRNA from 1 species
UACGGAGGGUGCAAACGUUGCUCGGAAUUAUUGGGCGUAAAGCGCACGUAGGCGGUUCGUUAUGUCGGAUGUGAAAGCCCCGGGCUUAACCCGGGAAGGGCAUCCGAAACUGGCGGGCUUGAGUACGGAAGAGGGUCUCGGAAUUCACGGUGUAGCAGUGAAAUGCGUAGAUAUCGUGAGGAACACCAGAGGCGAAGGCGGUUACCUGGACAGUUACUGACGCUCAGGCACGAAAGCAUGGGGAGCAAAAGGG